rnacentral:rRNA from 1 species
AUUGAACGCUGGCGGCAUGCCUUACACAUGCAAGUCGAACGGCAGCACGGGAGCAAUCCUGGUGGCGAGUGGCGAACGGGUGAGUAAUAUAUCGGAACGUGCCCAGUCGUGGGGGAUAACGUAGCGAAAGCUACGCUAAUGCCGCAUACGAUCUAUGGAUGAAAGCGGGGGAUCGCAAGACCUCGCGCGAUUGGAGGGGCGGGUAUCGGGUGAAGUAGCUGGUGAGGUAAAGGCUCACCAAGCCGACGAUCUGUAGCUGGUCUGAGAGGACGACCAGCCACACUGGGACUGAGACACGGCCCAGACUCCUGCGGGAGGCAGCAGUGGGGAAUUUUGGACAAUGGGCGCAAGCCUGAUCCAGCAAUGCCGCGUGCAGGAUGAAGGCCUUCGGGUUGUAAACUGCUUUUGUACGGAACGAAACGGUGAGCUCUAAUACAGUUUGCUAAUGACGGUACCGUAAGAAUAAGCACCGGCUAACUACGUGCCAGCAGCCGCCGUAAGAC